CCAGAGUGCUGUGGAUGCGGCCGGGAGCGGCGAGGCGGAGGCGGCGUCGCAAAUAGCCCGUGACGCGGCGCGGCGGGCGCUGCACUUUCGCGCGGUCAUGUGCCCGGCGCCGCAGCCAGACGCUCGUAAUCGGUCCUCUAUUUAAAAACGUCGUCGGCGACGCCGCGCUCGCUCGCCGACCGCGGCGGGGAAUGUGCGGCGACAAUGCACGCGCGUCAACGACCGCGCGCAGCGGAAGCGGCACACUUCCAGCCCGGAAACUUGCGCUCGCGCCUUAAGGGACCGCCGAGCUAUUUAUAAUCGGUGCAGGGUGCGGAUGCGCUCGUCGACAGCUGUUGCGUAAUGUGUUCCUUUCGGAAUUGGUCCUUCGCAUCCGAGGCUACGUUUUGACGUUCAGAUAAAAAUUGAAAUGUAUCCCUUUUUACGCAAUAAUAUAAGUUGGAUUCAUUAUGCAAAAUAAGCGCAAAUUUAACCCGUCAAACAGCAAAAGCUGCCAAUGCUACGUUGUCUGAAGCAAGAAACCGAGACUGCUCAGUCGUAGAAAUCGCGUGCGAUGACGCGAGACGAACGCUGACGUCCAAUUGCCCUUCACCGGGCAAUGCAAGAGAAUUGAUAACUGUUAUUUUUAUAAUAACCCCCAUUAAUGUCUGUGCGUUUAAGCUUAAGCGUUACACAAUUUUAGUCUUAACGUAGAAUGUCAAUCUCGGUGAUGAAAUUGGAUAAUGGCUCAAUUCUUUUUCGGCAAGGCAGUAAUUCCGUCUGUUCGUUCCGGUGUCGCGCACUCUCAUAGCCGAGCGCGCAGCCCGCGAGGAAAGCGCAAGGGCCCACCGGAGAUAAGGUCUAUAAAUGUUCACCUCCAUGACUCAUAAUUAAUAAGAGAUUCGCCACGAUACUAGACCAAUUAAAUGAACGCAUGUGUGCGCACCGCUCAUUAUGUAUUUAGGAAAAUGUCGGAGAAAUCUGAACUAUUUUUUAUAAAUGUCAGGUGUUGAUGUUAAAUAAAAUGUCUUGAUUUUAAA